rnacentral:rRNA from 1 species
UUAAGUUUUAUCNUGGCUCAGGACGAACGCUGCGGCGUGCUUAUACAUGAAGUCGAGCGGACAGAUGGAGCUUGCUCCCUGAUGUANCGGCGGACGGGUGAGUAACACGUGGGUACCCUGCNUGUAAGANUGGGAUAACUCCGGNAACCNGGGGCUAAUACCGGAUGGUUGUUUGACCCGCAUGGUUCAAACAUAAAAGGUGGCUUCGGCUACCACUUACAGAUGGACCCGCGGCGCAUUAGCUAGUUGGUGAGGUAACGGCUCACCAAGGCAACGAUGCGUAGCCGACCUGAGAGGGUGAUCGGCCACACUGGGACUGAGACACGGCCCAGACUCCUACGGGAGGCAGCAGUAGGGAAUCUUCCGCAAUGGACGAAAGUCUGACGGAGCAACGCCGCGUGAGUGAUGAAGGUUUUCGGAUCGUAAAGCUCUGUUGUUAGGGAAGAACAAGUACCGUUCGAAUAGGGCGGUACCUUGACGGUACCUAACCAGAAAGCCACGGCUAACUACGUGCCAGCAGCCGCGGUAAUACGUAGGUGGCAAGCGUUGUCCGGAAUUAUUGGGCGUAAAGGGCUCGCAGGCGGUUUCUUAAGUCUGAUGUGAAAGCCCCCGGCUCAACCGGGGAGGGUCAUUGGAAACUGGGGAACUUGAGUGCAGAAGAGGAGAGUGGAAUUCCACGUGUAGCGGUGAAAUGCGUAGAGAUGUGGAGGAACACCAGUGGCGAAGGCGACUCUCUGGUCUGUAACUGACGCUGAGGAGCGAAAGCGU